AGGUGGGGAUCCGGCGUUGGGAGUUGCUGCUGGAAGUCGGCGCGGGUUAGCGGUCACACGCAGCAAGCGCGGGCGGCGGCCGGGCGCAAAGUUGCGAGGAGAGUCCCUAGUCUAAGCCUUUCUGUCGCCCUCCGGCACCGCUAGUACCACGGACUCCACCUUGCCGCGGCCCCUCGGCGACGCGAUGCAGCUGCCACUCGACCAGCUGGGUUCAGAUUCUCCAACCUUCCUGUGGAGCCACACCACCUGCUGUCUUGGCACUUCAUGAGUCCAGUGCUGCUUCCCGAGAGGAUCUGGUUCGUAGACCAUGACCUUGAUUCCUGCCUCCAAGCCUAGCUUUAUUCUCAGCAGCCACCACCUUUUUGGUACUAGAACAGUGCUUUUUCUAGUACAUUCAUAAGUGGAUGCUGAAAUCACAACCUGGCCAUUUGGAUGUUCAACUAAUGCUUUAUGCCGCAGAGUCCCUGGAACUCACCAACCCAUGCUGGAACUCAGCAGAGCUCAGGUGGCAGGUACGUGGCUUGCGCUGUGCUUGUGGAUUUGGAGCGAGGCACCAUGGACUCCAUGCGCUUGGGGCCCUUAGGGCAGAUCUUCAGGCCAGACAACUUCAUCUUUGGUGAGCUGUGGAUGAGGACUGUGGUGCGGCUCCUUAGCCAGGGCAGUUCAAAGUCAAUGAGUGACUCAAGGUCUUCUCUGUGGGAACUGUGAACUGGGGACCCUGAACACCCUCCCAUCCUCUGAGUCACUCAGUCUCCCUUUCCUAACCGGGCUUUGGGGGAGGAAGGCCCAGCUGUCUCCUCAACUUGAGGAGCUGAUGUAAUCUGCCUGCAAGGAGCUGAUUUGGGGCCAUGACUACAGCCUUCCCAUUGCCUGGGAAUGGGCAGGAGCUACCUGCAGCGAGUCUGCUGUUGGCUGUCUCAGGAUUGGCUCCUGAUCUAGAUUCUAACAAGCAAGGCUGCUGUCCUGUAACUUAGGGGGAGGGGGUCAGUUUCUUUAACUAUCUGUUAAAACAUGUUUUUGAGAUCAUUGGAGCAAUUCAAUCACAUAGUGAGUAUUAGGUGACCUUAAAUGCUUAUUUAAAAAUUUUGUUGGCAUCAUGGCUAUAUAAAAUGACCAUAUUACUUUUAGAAACACAUACUAAAGUAUAUAGAUAUUCAAUGAUUCAAUUUUAGGUUUAGUUUUAAAAUAUGACAACAAAAAGGCAAAAAAGAUAGGUGCAGCAAGGGAUCAAGCAAACCUUGAUACAUGCUGAAUAUGGAUGAUGAGUAUUUGUGGGCUUACUGAAUUAUUUCUCUACUUAUUUGCAAAAACUUACAAGUAAAAUAUGAAAAAAUGCUUUCAAAGAAUAUUUAAUCACAUGGAAAAAUUACCUUGGCAUGAGAAGUUAUAUAUAUGGGUCUGAUUUUAUUAUUUUCUCUAGGUAGUAACACUAUAAAUGAUUUUUCCUUUAACCAUGUCUAUAUAUUUAUAUUUUCUAAUAUAAAAAAUAUUUGUAAUUAUAAAAAAUAUAUAUAAUUGUAAAAGAAAUAUUUAUAAAACCAUGUGUUAUCCCUGAACUAACCUGACACAGCUUUUACAUCUUUGUCUGAUGUGCCACACCUUUGAUUAUUUUAGCUAACAUUAACUUGUCACCUUCCCAUUAACAGAGCUGUCAGAAACUUCACCUUUGGUAUUAUCUACUCCAGUAUUUUAACAUGUCUGAUUAUCAUCAUUAUUAAUAAUUACAAUUCUGUAAAAUUUGAACAUUUUAAGUCACAACACUAUUCCUUCAGCAAACAUUUACUCCGAGUCUAGUAUGUGUCAGGCACUGUUCCAGGCACUGGGGCAUAGAACAUAAAUGAAUACAGUCCCAGCUGUAAUAGAGAUUAGAAUUUCAGGCAAAUAAAGAAACGAAAAGAGGGCAUAAUCUCAGAGGUGUCACUAGCAAUGCCACCUCAUGAAACAAAGACAAAUAUGACAGUUUUAGGCCUACAAAAUAUUUGAUUACCAGAUGAAAUCAUAUGAAAUGCCACAAUACUCAACAAUUUGACCUAGAAAAUGGCAUUUUCAUAUGUUUCAACUUUAUUUUCUCAGGUUUGUAUUUUAGAGACAAGACAGACGUUUGAGAGUAUUUAUUUAAUUCUCCUCUUUCACAAAUCAUAAAACUAUGGGCCAAAAAAAAAAAAAAAAUGGUCUUACCCAAGUCAAAAAGCUAGUGAAUCAGAGAAAGUAGAAAACGGAUACUGCACACAAAUUCAAUUAAGGGUUCUCUAUCUUUAGUUAUUGGUAAUAUAAAGGAAGACUUAGAUUCAGAUUUUAAAAAUCAAAUAUAAUAGAAUUGCCGUAACUUACAAAACCUAUCAGCUUUCUCCAAAUUUUCAUGAAUACAGUUAACAGUCUGACUCUUAGAUUCAAUGCUCAAAGCUAGGGAAAAAGAAAUUGAACAAAAACAUAAUGUGUGUGUUAUAAGAUGCUAAAGACGUUUUGAAAUGCUGUGAGUGUGACCGUCUUCUACUUGCUUACAGUGUGUAUAAAUCACAAACGGAAAGAAAAAGCAAGAGCCAUAGAAAUCCCAUUGAUUAAGAUCACAGUUUAAAUGCUGUUCUUUCAGUAGUUGCACGCACAAUGACUCAAAACUUUGAAAUUUAUAAAUACAUUUAGAUACAAAGAUAGAGCCAUCCUAAUACGAAUCACUAUAUUGUGUGGUAUAGAUUAUUAUAGCCUGUUUAUGUGAGAAGGAAGGGAAAUUGGUGAACAGCUAGCCAGACUGUCAUUUUUUGUGAAACAAGCUAUCAGAUAUAGCUAUAUCUGAUUAUUUUAAUUUUUCAAAUAUGCUAUCUAAUGUUUAAUAAUAUUAACAUAAUUAAUUUUAAUGAGUAAACUUGGCUUUUCUCAACAAAUCCUCUUUCCUUUAGCAAAUCCUAAGACCUUUCCACUAUUCAAAAUGUUUUUCAAGUUUCCUUUUUAUUGGAUAACUAACUAGCUAAUCAACUGAUUAAUUCCACUAUUAUGAAAUAGCAAGUGUGAAGUAAGCAUGUGGGUGGGAUGUUGACAAUGGAAAGGUGAAUAAGAGGCUAGAUCCCUGCUUCCUGCAGGUCCACAGAGAGCUUGGGCUACAUGAUAAUAUUGUUUGCAAUGUACUGGUUCUCAUUCCCAUUAGAAAGGUAAUAAGCUAGGCAGAUGCUAAUGCCUAUAUUAAAAAGGGUUACUUCAUUCAUCUUUGAAGUAUUAUCCUUCAGUGAUACAUAUGAUUAAUAACAUUAACUCAUGUUAUGAAUAAGUAAUCAAGGAACUAUUUUAAAAAGCCGCAAAAUCAGCAGAAUAGAGGCUAUCUUAAAAACCAGUUCAUGCCUAAAAGAUUGGCAUUUAGGAAUGUUUAUAGGCUUGAAUAAAUUAAGUUUCUUUUAAACUAAGGCUAGAGCCUUCUGAUUGCUAAAAUGUGGUGUUCCUUCUAGCACAUUAUGUCAUAUGACUUUCAUUUUCUGUUUCUAAUGUGUGUUUAUUUAGAAAAUAAACUUUUAAAAACUAAUUUAAAUUAAAUUAUUUGAUUAAUUUUAGAAUUCUGUAAAUGCUAAUUGUAGGCCAUCAGGAAAAUGCAAACUGAAUGAAAAGAUAAUAAACAAAAUAAACUUGUGUGUUAA
ensembl:lincRNA